rnacentral:ncRNA from 1 species
UGGAACUUAGAAGUUCCUGAUGUUCUGAGAAUAUUCAGCAAUGUUUGAACACGAUGUUCAAACAAGCCGCCACUGAGCCAUGGAUGGCGAAUUGGCGGCGGUUGCGUACGAUAUCGAUACAUGUAACAGAACAUCUAGUACUUCUUAGUUU